rnacentral:lncRNA from 10 species
GAUGACAGAGAAAGAAGAAACGACGGUCAUGCCCAAAAGGGCCAUGCCACGUGCAACCUAUUUGCUGCAAGAACUGCACCUGAUGCAUGUUCAAGGACCAGGCUAUUAAGAAGUUUGUGAAAAAAAAGUUCAUCAUUUGAAACAUAGAGGCUGCAGCUUUCAGAGACAUUUCUGAAGCAAGCAUCUUCGACGCCUAUGUGCUUUCUAAGUGUGAAGCUACAUCACUGUGUGAAUUGUGCCAUCCACAGCAAGGUAGUCAGGACUUCAUCUCAUGAAGGCCGAAAGGACAAAGAAUCAAAUACCUUCAUCCCGAUUUACAUCUGCACGUGCUGCCCCACAACCUCCACCAAAGCCCAUGUA